UGUCAUGUCGAGACUGACAGCAUGCGCGUGCAGUAGAGCCUAGAGGUUUAAACUGCUUUAGACGGAGCAUAGAGGUAUGCAUACUCGAUGAGCGUACGUCGGAAUAAGCAUCGGCUAACUCCGUGCCAGCAGCCGCGGUAAUACGGAGGAUGCAAGCGUUAUCCGGAUUCAUUGGGUUUAAAGGGUGCGCAGGCGGCAUGUCAGGUCAGCGCGUAAAUACCGGGGCUUAACUCCGGAGUUAGCGUUGAAACCGACAGGCUUGAAUGAGGUAGAAGUUGGAGGAAUGUACGGUGUAGCGGUGAAAUGCAUAGAUAUCGUACAGAAGACCGAUAGCGAAGGCAUCUGACUAUGCCUCGAUUGACGCUCAUGCACGAAAGCGCGGGGAUCAAACAGGAUUAGAUACCCUGGUAGUCCGCGCCGUAAACGAUGAUAACUCGCCGUUGGAGAAAGUAAAGAAAUCAGCGGCAAAGCGAAAGCGAUAAGUUAUCCACCUGGGGAGUACGGCCGCAAGGCUGAAACUCAAAGGAAUUGACGGGGGCCCGCACAAGCGGAGGAACAUGUGGUUUAAUUCGAUGAUACGCGAGGAACCUUACCCGGGCUCGAACGGCUGAAGAAUAAAGUAGAAAUAUUUUAGCCAGCAAUGGUUUCAGUCGAGGUGCUGCAUGGUUGUCGUCAGCUCGUGCCGUGAGGUGUCGGCUUAAGUGCCAUAACGAGCGCAACCCUUACCGUCCGUUGCCAACGGGUAAAGCCGGGGACUCAGACGGGACUGCCGCCGUAAGGUGCGAGGAAGGUGGGGAUGACGUCAAAUCAGCACGGCCCUUACGUCCGGGGCGACACACGUGUUACAAUGGAUGGUACAGAGGGCAGCGACCUUGCGAGAGGGAGCGAAUCCCAAAAGCCAUUCCCGGUUCGGAUCGGAGUCUGCAACUCGACUCCGUGAAGCCGGAUUCGCUAGUAAUCGCGCAUCAGCCACGGCGCGGUGAAUACGUUCCCGGGCCUUGUACACACCGCCCGUCAAGCCAUGGGAGUCGGGGGUACCUGAAGUAUGCGACCGCAAGGAGCGUCCUAGGUAAGACCGU
rnacentral:rRNA from 1 species